CCUACGGGAGGCAGCAGUGGGGAAUAUUGGACAAUGGGGGAAACCCUGAUCCAGCGACGCCGCGUGAGUGAAGAAGUAUUUCGGUACGUAAAGCUCUAUCAGCAGGAAAGAAAAUGACGGUACCUGACUACGUAGCCCCGGAUAACUACGUGCCAGCAGCCGCGGUAAUACGUAGGGGGCACGCGUUAUCCGGAUUUACUGGGUUUAAAGGGAGCGUAGACGGCAGCGCAAGUCUGGAGUGAAAUGCCGGGGCCCAACCCCGGAACUGCGCUGGAAACUGGGAAGCUUGAGUGCAGGAGAGGUAAGCGGAAUUCCUGGUGUAGCGGUGAAAUGCGUAGAUAUCAGGAGGAACACCGGCGGCGAAGGCGGCUUACUGGACUGUAACUGACGUUGAGGCUCGAAGGCGUGGGGAGCAAACAGGAUUAGAUACCCGUGUAGUC
rnacentral:rRNA from 1 species